AUCCUGGCUCAGAUUGAACGCUGGCGGGAUGCUUUACACAUGCAAGUCGGACGGCAGCACGGGCUUCGGCCUGGUGGCGAGUGGCGAACGGGUGAGUAAUGUAUCGGAACGUGCCCAGUAGCGGGGGAUAACUACGCGAAAGCGUGGCUAAUACCGCAUACGCCCUACGGGGGAAAGCGGGGGACCUUCGGGCCUCGCACUAUUGGAGCGGCCGAUAUCGGAUUAGCUAGUUGGUGGGGUAACGGCCUACCAAGGCGACGAUCCGUAGCUGGUUUGAGAGGACGACCAGCCACACUGGGACUGAGACACGGCCCAGACUCCUACGGGAGGCAGCAGUGGGGAAUUUUGGACAAUGGGGGCAACCCUGAUCCAGCCAUCCCGCGUGUGCGAUGAAGGCCUUCGGGUUGUAAAGCACUUUUGGCAGGAAAGAAACGGCACGGGCUAAUAYCCUGUGCAACUGACGGUACCUGCAGAAUAAGCACCGGCUAACUACGUGCCAGC
rnacentral:rRNA from 1 species